rnacentral:rRNA from 1 species
AGAGUUCGAUCCUGGCUCAGGAUGAACGCUGGCGGCGUGCCUAACACAUGCAAGUCGAACGGAGAUUAAUUUAUAGAGACUUCGGUCAAAGUAGUUUGAUCUUAGUGGCGGACGGGUGAGUAACGCGUGGGGAACCUGCCCCAUACCGGGGGAUAACAGAUAGAAAUGUCUGCUAAUACCGCAUAAGCGCACGGGGUCGCAUGACCCUGAGUGAAAAACUCCGGUGGUAUGGGAUGGACCCGCGUUGGAUUAGCCAGUUGGCGGGGUAACGGCCCACCAAAGCGACGAUCCAUAGCCGGCCUGAGAGGGUGAACGGCCACAUUGGGACUGGGACACGGCCCAGACUCCUACGGGAGGCAGCAGUGGGGAAUAUUGCACAAUGGGGGGAACCCUGAUGCAGCGACGCCGCGUGAAGGAAGAAGUAUCUCGGUAUGUAAACUUCUAUCAGCAGGGAAGAAAAUGACGGUACCUGACUAAGAAGCCCCGGCUAACUACGUGCCAGCAGCUGC